GUAGUCGUGGCCGAGUGGUUAAGGCGAUGGACUUGAAAUCCAUUGGGGUUUCCCCACGCAGGUUCGAAUCCUGCCGACUACA
rnacentral:tRNA from 2 species